CCCCUCUCAGGAUCACACCUGGAGAGUUUCCAGCACUCUGCCCAUCUUGGCUACGGGAGGGAGAGUCAAGCAGAGGCCUACCCUUUCCAUUCCUAGCUUGGGCAGUGGCUAGUGAGUGGAAGGUAAUCUGCUACAAGU